UUCUAUGUAGUAGAAUUUUACAUUGAUAUUAAAAAUCAAAAAUAAACAAAAGUUUCGUAGAAA
rnacentral:tRNA from 1 species